AGCGAACGUUUGCGGCGGGCUUAACACAUGCAAGUCGAACGAGAAUCCCUUCGGGGAGGAAAGUGGCGCACGGGUGCGUAACACGUGGAUAACCAACCCAUUGGUUUGGGACAACACCGGGAAACUGGUGCUAAUACCAGAUGUGUCGCAGCUGUCUUCAGGCGGUUGCGAGAAAGGCCCGCAAGGGUCGCCAACGGACGGGUCCGCGUCCCAUCAGCUAGUUGGUGAGGUAAUGGCUCACCAAGGCAAAGACGGGUAGCUGGUCUGAGAGGAUGAUCAGCCACACUGGAACUGAGACACGGACCAGACUCCUACGGGAGGCAGCAGUGGGGAAUAUUGCGCAAUGGGCGAAAGCCUGACGCAGCCACGCCGCGUGAGCGAUGAAGGUCUUCGGAUCGUAAAGCUCUGUGGGGGGGANAAGAAGAAAGCCGGUGAAGAGCCGGCCCUGACGGUAUCCCCUUAGCAAGCACCGACUAACUCCGUGCCAGCAGCCGCGGUAAAGUAG
rnacentral:rRNA from 1 species